rnacentral:misc_RNA from 1 species
ACGAGUUAGGGUCUCACCGGCCCGACCUCCCAACCCUUUGUCUACCUGACCAUCGUUGCUUCGGCGAGCCCGUCCUCACGGACCGCCGGGGGGUUCUGCGCCCUCUGGCCCGCGCUCGUCGACAGCCCCACAAUAUAAAUCUUCACUAAACGUGUCUUGAAUCUAAGUAUUAUUGUUAAAUAAAAACA